AUUGAACGCUGGCGGCAGGCCUAACACAUGCACGUCGAACGAGUGGCGGACGGGUGAGUAAUGUCUGUGAAACUUCCCGAUGGAGGGGGAUAACUACUCGAAACGGUAGCUAAUACCUCAUACCAUCUGAUGUGCCCAGAUGGGAUUAGCUUGUAGGUGAGGUAAAGGCUCACCUAGGCGACGAUCCCUAGCUGGUCUGAGAGGAUGACCAGCCACACUGGAACUGAGACACGGUCCAGACUCCUACGGGAGGCAGCAGUGGGGAAUAGUGCACAAUGGGCGCAAGCCUGAUGCAGCCAUGCCGCGUGUAUGAAGAAGGCCUUCGGGUUGUAAAGUACUUUCAGCGGGGAGGCGUUACCCGCAGAAGAAGCACCGGCUAACUCCGUGCCAGCAGCCGCGGUAAUUC
rnacentral:rRNA from 1 species